rnacentral:rRNA from 1 species
UACGGGGGGGGCAAGCGUUGUUCGGAAUUAUUGGGCGUAAAGCGCGUGUAGGCGGCAUGGCAAGUCGGGUGUGAAAGCCCUCAGCUCAACUGAGGAAGUGCGCCCGAAACUGCUUUGCUUGAGUGCUGGAGAGGGUCGCGGAAUUCCCCAAGUAGAGGUGAAAUUCGUAGAUAUGGGGAGGAACACCGGUGGCGAAGGCGGCGACCUGGACAGUAACUGACGCUGAGACGCGAAAGCGUGGGUAGCAAACAGG